rnacentral:rRNA from 1 species
UACGUAGGAUGCAAGCGUUGUCCGGAAUUACUGGGCGUAAAGAGCGCGCAGGCGGCACUUUAAGUAGGGCGUGAAAUCUCUCGGCUUAACUGAGAGCGGUCGUUCUAAACUGGAGAGCUAACGAGGGCAGGAGAGGAAAGUGGAAUUCCCGGUGUAGUGGUGAAAUGCGUAGAUAUCGGGAGGAACACCUGUGGCGAAGGCGACUUUCUGGCCUGUUCCUGACGCUGAGGCGCGAAGGCUAGGGGAGCGAACGGG